AAGACGGUGGAGUAUGUGGUUUAAUUCGAUGCAGCGCGAAGAACCUUACCUGGUCUUGACAUCCCGGAGACCCUUAGGAAACUAAGGGGGUGGCUUCCAUCUGGAAGAAUCUGGAGACAGGUGCUGCAUGGCUGUCGUCAGCUCGUGUCGUGAGAUGUUGGGUUAAGUCCCGCAACGAGCGCAACCCUUGCCUUUAGUUGCCAGCAGUUCGGCUGGGCACUCUAAAGGGACUGCCGGUGUUAAACCGGAGGAAGGUGGGGAUGACGUCAAGUCCUCAUGGCCUUUAUGACCAGGGCUACACACGUACUACAAUGGCCGAUACAAAGGGCAGCGACACUGCGAGGUGAAGCCAAUCCCGUAAAAUCGGUCUCAGUCCGGAUUGGAGUCUGCAACUCGACUCCAUGAAGUUGGAAUCGCUAGUAAUCGUGGAUCAGCAUGCCACGGUGAAUACGUUCCCGGGCCUU
rnacentral:rRNA from 1 species